rnacentral:ncRNA from 1 species
UUUGUUUUAGAUAGCCAUUGUGUGAAUUGUUUAGCUUUAUUCGGUAAAACUGAUGAUUACAAGUGUGGGAAAAAACAGUCUCAAUUUAUUUGAGAACUUUAAGUGAAUGAGAAACGUAACUCGCUUGAUUUAUGUCUUGCAUUGAAUGUGACUGCCUAGUAAAUCAUUUAUGGAAAAACAGAACUUGUUCUGUGAGAUGAAUCGAACGUCCGUUUAAGUUGCCUGACGCGGCACUCACAAGAUAUCACAGUAUUGCGUUUGGUGGUCUAGCUAGUAAGACGAUGGUCGUGAAAUUUGGGAGCCACUAAAAUGUGUGUAACAACUCACAUAUCGAAUUAACCAGUUUUAUAGCGCUCAAGCGUUAGACAUAUACUGGACCGUUGUCGUUAACCGGAUCUAUGUUGUGUAAGGUCAAGCUGCUCUUAGUCUCGGGAUACAGUAACGGCAACAACGACAAGAAAAAUCUCUGCGGCCAGCGGAAGCUUCAGGCAUGAAUCCAGGUAAAUCAACCACAGGUG